GCUACCUGCAGUCGACGGUAGCACAGAGAGCUUGCUCUCGGGUGACGAGUGGCGGACGGGUGAGUAAUGUCUGGGAAACUGCCUGAUGGAGGGGGAUAACUACUGGAAACGGUAGCUAAUACCGCAUAACGUCGCAAGACCAAAGAGGGGGACCUUCGGGCCUCUUGCCAUCAGAUGUGCCCAGAUGGGAUUAGCUAGUAGGUGGGGUAACGGCUCACCUAGGCGACGAUCCCUAGCUGGUCUGAGAGGAUGACCAGCCACACUGGAACUGAGACACGGUCCAGACUCCUACGGGAGGCAGCAGUGGGGAAUAUUGCACAAUGGGCGCAAGCCUGAUGCAGCCAUGCCGCGUGUAUGAAGAAGGCCUUCGGGUUGUAAAGUACUUUCAGCGGGGAGGAAGGUGUUGUGGUUAAUAACCGCAGCAAUUGACGUUACCCGCAGAAGAAGCACCGGCUAACUCCGUGCCAGCAGCCGCGGUAAUACGGAGGGUGCAAGCGUUAAUCGGAAUUACUGGGCGUAAAGCGCACGCAGGCGGUCUGUCAAGUCGGAUGUGAAAUCCCCGGGCUCAACCUGGGAACUGCAUUCGAAACUGGCAGGCUAGAGUCUUGUAGAGGGGGGUAGAAUUCCAGGUGUAGCGGUGAAAUGCGUAGAGAUCUGGAGGAUACCGGUGGCGAAGGCGGCCCCCUGGACAAAGACUGACGCUCAGGUGCGAAAGCG
rnacentral:rRNA from 1 species